rnacentral:rRNA from 1 species
UACGGAGGAUCCGAGCGUUAUCCGGAUUUAUUGGGUUAAAGGGUGCGUAGGCGGCCUUGUAAGUCAGGGUGAAAGACGGUAGCUCAACUAUCGCAGUGCCUUCGAUACUGUAGAGCUUGAGUUCGGGAGAGGUGAGUGGAACUGCGAGUGUAGAGGUGAAUUCGUAGAUAUUCGCAAGAACACCAGUGGCGAAGGCGGCUCACUGGCCCGAUACUGACGCUGAGGUGCGAAAGCGUGGGAGCAACAGG